rnacentral:rRNA from 1 species
GGUGAACGCUGGCGGUGUGCCUAACACAUGCAAGUCGAGCGGCAGCACGAUAAGAGCUUGCUCUUACUGGUGGCGGGGGACGGACGGGUGACAAGUACAUCAGCAUCUUAUUUUUCUGGGGUGAUAACGUAAGGCAACUUACACUACUACAGCAUACUACGUACGGGUGGGAUCAAAGGAGCUUCGCGCCUUUCCCGAUUGAUUGAGCCGAGGCCGCAUUAGCUAGUUUGCGGGGUAACGGCUCACCAAGGCAACGAUGCGUAGCCGAGCUGAGAGGAUGAUCGGCCACACUGGAACUGAGACACGGUCCAGACUCCUACGGGAGGCAGCAGUAGGGAAUCUUCCGCAAUGGGCGCAAGCCUGACGGAGCAACGCCGCGUGAGUGAUGAAGGUCUUCGGAUCGUAAAGCUCUGUUAUUGGGGAAGAACAGAUGUGUAAGUAACUGUGGACAUCUUGACGGUACCUAAUCAGAAAGCAACGGCUAACUACGUG